AUUUUUAUAGUAUAAAUAUUACGUAAUAUUUUCAAUAUUAUGAUGAUUAAGAAAUCUAAAAAUG
rnacentral:tRNA from 1 species